UCGAUUGUUUGAUCAUGGCUCAGAAUGAACGCUGGCGGCGUGCUUAACACAUGCAAGUCGAGCGAGGCCAGGGGGGCAACUCCCUGAGUCGAGCGGCGGACGGGUGAGUAACACGUGGGUAACCUACCCGGAAGUGGGGAAUACCUCGGGGAAACUCGAGCUAAUACCGCAUAACAUCUUUGGGACGAAAGUCCUGACGAUCAAAGCGGGGUCGCAAGAUCUCGCGCUACCGGAUGGGCCCGCGCCCGAUUAGCUAGUUGGUGAGGUAAUGGCUCACCAAGGCGACGAUCGGUAACCGGCCUGAGAGGGCGAUCGGUCACACCGGAACUGAGACACGGUCCGGACUCCUACGGGAGGCAGCAGUGGGGAAUCUUGCGCAAUGGGCGAAAGCCUGACGCAGCAACGCCGCGUGGAGGAUGAAGGCCCUUGGGUUGUAAACUCCUGUCGGCUGGGAAGAAGUCGUUCGCGGUUCAUACCCGCGAGCGUUGACUGUACCAGCAAAGGAAGCCCCGGCUAACUCUGUGCCAGCAGCCGCGGUAAUACAGAGGGGGCUAGCGUUAUUCGGAAUUAUUGGGCGUAAAGGGCGCGUAGGCGGCCAUGCGUGUCUUCCGUGAAAUCCCUCGGCUCAACCGAGGACGUGCGGAAGAAACUGCAAGGCUCGAGUCCGGAAGAGGGGGGCGGAAUUCCCAGUGUAGCGGUGAAAUGCGUAGAUAUUGGGAGGAACACCAGUGGCGAAGGCGGUCCCCUGGGCCCGGAACUGACGCUGAGGCGCGAAAGCGUGGGUAGCAAACGGGAUUAGAUACCCCGGUAGUCCACGCCGUAAACGAUGGG
rnacentral:rRNA from 1 species